rnacentral:hammerhead_ribozyme from 1 species
AUUCGGCUGACGAAUCCCAAAUGGGACGAAACGCGCGUUCUGGAU